rnacentral:rRNA from 1 species
CCUACGGGAGGCAGCAGUGGGGGAUAUUGCACAAUGGGGGGAACCCUGAUGCAGCGACGCCGCGUGGGUGAAGAAGCGCCUCGGCGCGUAAAGCUCUGUCAGCAGGGAAGAACAUGACGGUACCUGACGAUGAAGCUCCGGCUAACUACGUGCCAGCAGCCGCCGUAAUACGUAGGGGGCAAGCGUUAUCCGGAUUUACUGGGUGUAAAGGGGGCGCAGACGGCGAUGCAAGCCAGGAGUGAAAGCCCGGGGCCCAACCCCGGGACGGCUCUUGAAACUGCAUGGCUGGAGUGCAGAAGGGGCAGGCGGAAUGCCUGGUGUAGCGGUGAAAUGCGUAGAGAUCAGGAGGAACACCAGUGGCGAAGGCGGCCUGCUGGACUGCAACUGACGUUGAGGCCCGAAAGCGUGGGGAGCAAACAGGAUUAGAUACCCGGGUAGUC